ensembl:misc_RNA 7SK 7SK RNA
GGCUGUGAGGGUGAUCUGGCUGCAACAUCUGUCACCCCAUUGAUCUAGGAGGGCGUCCCCUUCUUCCCUCUCUGCUCCAUGUGCAUCCCUCCUGAAGCUGUACAUGUACAUGAAGAAGAUUACCUUUCCUGAGAGUGGAGGACCAUUAUUUGAUCAAGGGAAUAUGAGUAGCUGCACUCCCCUGCUAGAAUCUGUAACCAAGCUCUCAAAUAGUAAUGUCUACGUAAUUUUUUUUUUCCUGCAGUGAGAAAGCAAUUCAAACCUAGUGCUAAAAUCCUCUUACUGUCCAGA